CGACCGGCGCACGGGUGAGUAACGCGUAUGCAACCUGCCCGUUUCAGCGGGAUAACCCGGAGAAAUCCGGCCUAAUACCGCAUGUGGCCGAGGGGAGGCAUCUUCUUUCGGCCAAAGGAGGCGACUCCGGAGACGGAUGGGCAUGCGUGACAUUAGCUAGUUGGCGGGGUAACGGCCCACCAAGGCGACGAUGUCUAGGGGUUCUGAGAGGAAGGUCCCCCACACUGGCACUGAGACACGGACCAGACUCCUACGGAAGGCAGCAG
rnacentral:rRNA from 1 species